rnacentral:lncRNA from 1 species
CUCUGCGCAAAGAAACGUUUGGGGUUUCUGAAGAGCACCUAGCGCCGCCACCUCGCUUCUGCCAGAGAUCCGGGCCAGAUUGACGGAAGACACGGUUUCCUGGUGAGCCAGUCCCUCUCCCCUAGGCAACCCACACAACCCGGGGUCUGAAGAUGCUGAGAUCAAUGUGGAAUUUUCUGAAACGUCACAAAAAGAAAUGCAUCUUCCUGGGCACAGUCCUUGGAGGAGUCUAUAUCCUGGGAAAAUAUGGACAGAAAAAACUUAGAGAAAUACAAGAAAGAGAAGCUGCAGAGUACAUUGCCCAAGCUCGGCGACAGUACCAUUUUGAAAGUAACCAGAGGACUUGCAAUAUGACAGUGCUGUCCAUGCUGCCAACACUGAGAGAGGCCUUAAUGCAGCAGCUCAACUCGGAGAGUCUGACAGCUUUGUUGAAAAACAGGCCUUCAAACAAGCUGGAAAUAUGGGAGGAUCUAAAGAUAAUAAGUAAGCCCGAGUGUUCUGUAUGACAGCACAUCUGUGAGCUAUUUGUAACAGGAACUUUUUGUAUCAUAGUUUCACAAGAAGUAUUGUAGCUGUGUACAGCACAUGUAUGCUGGUGGUUCUUUUGCGAGUCCAGCUGAACAUAAUUGGUGGAUAUAUUUACCUGGAUAAUGCAACAGUUGGCAAAAAUGGCACUAGCAUCCUAGCUCCCCCAGAUGUACAGCAACAGUAUUUAUCAAGUAUUCAACACCUCCUUGGAGAUG